AACGCACAUUGCACUCCUUGGUAUUCCGAGGAGUAUGCCUGUUUCAGUAUCAUGAGCACUCUCACAACUAACCUUUGGGUGAAAUUGUGGAAUUGGAAUGCGCUGAUUGUAAUGACCAGCCCUUCUAAAAUAUAUUUCAUGACUGUCACCUAACACAGCAGUUUGGCCUAAUAGUUUUGACAUUGAUUUGUCAAAUCUUUGGCUUACAUUUGCUUCAGGUUGUCAGUCUUGAUAAUACAGAAAACUCAUUCAAAUUUUGAUCUGAAAUCAGGUAGGGCUACCCGCUGAACUUAA
rnacentral:misc_RNA from 1 species